CAGUAACGGCGAGUGAAGCGGUAACAGCUCAAAUUUGAAAUCUGGCCUCACGGUCCGAGUUGUAAUUUGUAGAGGAUGCUUCGAGCAUGGUCUGGCCUAAGUUCCUUGGAACAGGACGUCAUAGAGGGUGAGAAUCCCGUAUGCGGCCAGGUGCCUACGCUCAUGUGAAGCUCCUUCGACGAGUCGAGUUGUUUGGGAAUGCAGCUCAAAAUGGGUGGUAAAUUUCAUCUAAAGCUAAAUAUUGGCCAGAGACCGAUAGCGCACAAGUAGAGUGAUCGAAAGAUGAAAAGCACUUUGGAAAGAGAGUUAAACAGUACGUGAAAUUGUUGAAAGGGAAGCGCUUGCAACCAGACUUGCGCGCGGCCGAUCAUCCGGUGUUCUCACCGGUGCACUCGGCCGUGCUCAGGCCAGCAUCGGUUUUGGCGGCUGGAUAAAGGCCCUAGGAAUGUAGCUCCUCUCGGGGAGUGUUAUAGCCUAGGGUGCAAUGCAGCCUGCUGGGACCGAGGACCGCGCUUCGGCUAGGAUGCUGGCGUAAUGGUUGUAAGCGGCCCGUCUUGAAACACGGACCAAGGAGUCUAACAUCUAUGCGAGUGUUUGGGUGUCAAACCCAUACGCGUAAUGAAAGUGAACGGAGGUGAGAACCCUUAAGGGUGCAUCAUCGACCGGUCCUGAAGUUUACGGAAGGAUCUGAGUAAGAGCAUAGCUGUUGGGACCC
rnacentral:rRNA from 1 species